ACCUAUUCCAUGCUCCAUAGCACAGUAAAUUCAUCAAAGACAGAACUGUUGUUGACUGAGUUCCUGGGUUCUGACCAGCCCACCAGGGCAAAUUAUCCCUUCCACAGUCCUUUAAAGAUAAACUCAACAUUUCCAAAUCCUACAGGUGGCGUUGUGCCCGCUAGAUUAUCCUCAUCAGCAUCCAUCCCUCAGCUGACGUAUGUUGGUGUAGCCACUGGCUUGCUGAGCUUCUUUCUAUUUGACUGGUU